GGGAGUCGUGGAGGGAACUUUCCCAGGCCCCGAGGCGGAUCGGGUAUUGAGUCCAUGGAGCGAGCUGAGAGCUAGAGAACCUGCUAAGGCCAUCAAACCUAUCGAUCGGAAGUCAGUCCAUCAGAUUUGCUCUGGGCCGGUGGUACUGAGUCUAAGCACUGCGGUGAAGGAGUUAGUAGAAAACAGUCUGGAUGCUGGUGCCACCAAUAUUGAUCUAAAGCUUAAGGACUAUGGAGUGGAUCUCAUUGAAGUUUCAGACAAUGGAUGUGGGGUAGAAGAAGAAAACUUUGAAGGCUUAACGAUGUCACCAUUUCUACCUGCCACGCAUCGGCGAAGGUUGGGACUCGACUGGUGUUUGAUCACGAUGGGAAAAUCAUCCAGAAAACCCCCUACCCCCACCCCAGAGGGACCACAGUCAGCGUGAAGCAGUUAUUUUCUACACUACCUGUGCACCAUAAGGAAUUUCAAAGGAAUAUUAAGAAGGUACAGUAAAUUAAUCCUGGUUUUCAAGAGUAUUGGUUAAUGCACAUGAGCAAAAGAUUUACUAAAGAUGUUUAUUCU
ensembl:lncRNA PMS2P4 PMS1 homolog 2, mismatch repair system component pseudogene 4